UACGUAGGGUGCAAGCGUUGUCCGGAAUUAUUGGGCGUAAAGAGCUUGUAGGCGGUUUGUCGCGUCUGCUGUGAAAUUUCGGGGCUCAACCCCGAACUUGCAGUGGGUACGGGCAGACUAGAGUGUGGUAGGGAGACUGGAAUUCCUGGUGUAGCGGUGAAAUGCGCAGAUAUCAGGAGGAACACCAAUAGCGAAGGCAGCUCGCUGGGACGUAACUGACACUGAGGCGCGAAAGCGUGGGGAGCGAACAGG
rnacentral:rRNA from 1 species